rnacentral:rRNA from 1 species
AUUGACCUCGGAUCAGGUAGGGAUACCCGCUGAACUUAAGCAUAUCAUAAA